CAAACCCCCGGUGAGGUUCAGGGAAACACAAGGGGAUCCCCGACAUAAGGACGGGCGGUAUAUAAGCUCCGGAGGAUCGAACUCAACGCAUCUUGCACUCAACCUGCAUCCAGACAACAUUUCCAAGAUGAAGCUGAUUUCCUUGUUGAUGGCCCUGGUCGUGGCCCUGUCCUGUUUCAUGGGAUCUGCUCGCGCCAUGCCCGAUGCCCUCGCCCUGGCUGACCCCGACCCCGCGGCUAGCCCUGACCCCGCGGCUGACCCCCAUCGAUUCGGUUAUGGCGGCUUUUAUGGCCGCGGGUAUCGCCGCUAUGGACACUAUGGACAUCGUCGCUACUGGUAAAGAGAAGUGCCAUCACCGGCGACACUGACUCUUCUAGAAGCUUUGGGAAAUUUCUUUCUUUUGCACCAUGUAUUCCGAUCCCCAAUUCGACCUCUUUCAAUAAAAAGAAAAUAAAAUAA
rnacentral:lncRNA from 1 species